GACGAACGCUGGCGGCGUGCCUAAUACAUGCAAGUCGAGCGGACAGGCCCUGCUCUUGUUCGGUGCUCGAGUGGCGAACGGGUGAGUAACACGCGAGUAACCUCCCCUUGACAUUGGGAUAACUUCUGGAAACUGGGGCUAAUAUCGGAUAUGAUCUCCUGCUGCAUGUGGGGGGUUGGAAAGUUUCGGCUGUUGGGGAUGUACUCGCGGGUUAUCAGCUUGUUUGGGAGGUAGUGGCGGACCAAGGGUUUGACGGAUAGCCGGCCUGAGAAGGUGACCGGGCACAAUGGGACUGAGAGACGGCGCAGACGGCUACGGGAGGCAGAAGUGGGGAGUAUUGCGGAAUGGGCGGAAGCGUGAGGCGGCAGCGCCGGGUGCGGGAUGACGGCCUACGAGUGAUAAACCGCUGUGGCAUGUGACGAAGCGGGAGUGACGGUAAUGGGUAAGGAAGCACCGGCUAACUACGUG
rnacentral:rRNA from 1 species